GAUGAAGAACGCAGCGAAAUGCGAUAAGUAAUGUGAAUUGCAGAAUUCAGUGAAUCAUCGAAUCUUUGAACGCACAUUGCGCCCGCCAGUAUUCUGGCGGGCAUGCCUGUUCGAGCGUCAUUUCAACCAUCAAGCCCCAGGCUUGUGUUGGGGACCUGCGGCUGCCGCAGGCCCUGAAAACCAGUGGCGGGCUCGCUGUCACACCGGGCGUAGUAGAUUUUAUCUCGCUCAGGGCGUGCUGCGGGUUCCGGCCGUUAAAAAGCCUUUUUUACCCAAGGUUGACCUCGGAUCAGGUAGGAAGACCCGCUGAACUUAAGCGUAUCAAUAAGCGGAGGA
rnacentral:misc_RNA from 1 species